rnacentral:rRNA from 1 species
UCCGUAGGCGGCCGUGUGUGUCGGGUGUGAAAUCCUGCAGCUUAACUGUAGAACCGCGCUCGAAACUACACGGCUAGAGUAUUGGAGAGGUGAGUGGAAUUCCAGGUGUAGCGGUGAAAUGCGUAGAUAUCUGGAGGAACACCAACGGCGAAGGCAGCUCACUGGACAAUUACUGACGCUGAGGGACGAAAGCGUGGGGAGCGAAAG